rnacentral:sRNA from 1 species
GCUGGACGUGGUGGCCCACAACUGUAAUCCCAGCAGCUCAGGAAGCUGAGGCAGGAGGAUUGCGAGUUCAAAGCUAGCCUCAGCAACUUAGCGAGGCCCUCAGCAAUUUAGUGAAACCCUGUCUCAG